GUUUGUAAGGCACAAAAUGAGGAGGCCACUACGCCUUCCCUCAAGAAGUUCACAGUGGCAAGUACCAGAGAGCAAAAGACAAUGUUCUAUUAGAUUCUUUCUACUGAUGCCAGAGAAUCCAAUCUGCAAGACAGAAGAACUUUGGGGUAAAGUGGCACGCCUGAGAUUCCAGCACGAGGAAGUCUAGAUGACAACCCAGCCUUCAGAUUCCCAGUAUGUCUCACAUGGAAAAAGCAAAACUAAAAUCCACCACUUUGAAUGGCAAAAAGCGACCAUGAGUAGAGAGUUUGGGGUUGUACAUACCUAAGGGAUUUCAGUGUCAGUGGAGGGCAUGACUAGCUUUUUCUCAUCCUCUUCUUCUACAAGAUGGAUGUCUGGCCUGUCUCUGGCAGGUCGUCUUGGGGGAUUGGGUCUUCCUCCAAGUGGGUCAUCACCUGUGGGUGUCUGUUGCUGGAGACAUAGCUGGUUCCAGUGAGGAUCCAGCUGACCUUCUCCAUGUGGCUGAGAUACCACAGUACAGCAAAGGCAUAUUUUCCCACUGAAAAUUCAAACAGGUCUUUACUACGGGGGCCCUGAUAGUU
rnacentral:lncRNA from 1 species